rnacentral:rRNA from 1 species
AGUGAACGCUGGCGGUAGGCCUAACACAUGCAAGUCGAACGGCAGCACAGUAAGAGCUUGCUCUUACGGGUGGCGAGUGGCGGACGGGUGAGGAAUACAUCGGAAUCUACUUUUUCGUGGGGGAUAUCGUAGGGAAACUUACGCUAAUACCCCAUACGACCUACGGGUUAAAGCAGGUGAUCUUCGUACCUGUCGCGAUUGAAUGAGCCGAUGUCGGAUUAGCUAGUUGGCGGGUUAAAGGCCCACCAAGGCGACGAUCCGUAGCUGGUCUGAGAGGAUGAUCAGCGACACUGGAACUGAGACACGGUCCAGACUCCUACGGGAGGGAGCAGUGGGGAAUAUUGGACAAUGGGCGCAAGCCUGAUCCAGCCAUACCGCGUGGGUGAAGAAGGCCUUCGGGUUGUAAAGACCUUUUGUUGGGAAAAAAACGCAGCAGGUUAAGAACCAGCUGUUCUGACGGUACCCAAAGAAUAAGCACCGGCUAACUACGUG